AACGAACGCUGGCGGCAGGCUUAACACAUGCAAGUCGAACGCCCUAGCAAUAGGGAGUGGCGCACGGGUGAGUGACGCGUGGGAAUGUACCGUUUAGUGGGGGAUAACCAAGGGAAACUUUGGCUAAUACCGCAUACGCCCUUCGGGGGAAAGAUUUAUCGCUAAACGAUCAGCCCGCGUGAGAUUAGGUAGUUGGUGGGGUAACGGCCUACCAAGCCGACGAUCUCUAGCUGGUCUGAGAGGAUGAUCAGCCACACUGGAACUGAGACACGGUCCAGACUCCUACGGGAGGCAGCAGUGGGGAAUAUUGGACAAUGGGGGCAACCCUGAUCCAGCCAUGCCGCGUGAGUGAUGAAGGCCUUAGGGUUGUAAAGCUCUUUUACCGAUGAAGAUAAUGACGGUAGUCGGAGAAAAAGCCCCGGCUAACUUCGUGCCAGCAGCCGCGGUAA
rnacentral:rRNA from 1 species